GUGGGGCAGGUUGGAGCUGUUGUCACUCCACUCCAUAUCUUCCCUGUUCUAGUCUGUUCACGGGGCAUUGAGUUGACCCAAAGAUAUGGAGUGGGGUGACAACAGCUCCAACUUCCCCAU
rnacentral:pre_miRNA from 1 species